GGAGAGAUGUCCGAAUUGGCUAAGGAGCCGGACUUGAAAUCCGGUACGCGCGUGAGCGCAAUUAGGGUUCGAGUCCCUAUCUCUCCGCCA
rnacentral:tRNA from 1 species